rnacentral:tRNA from 2 species
GGAAAAAUCGCCUAAUGGUAUGGCAAUAGUUUGCUAAACUAUGCAUUUAUAAAAUGUUUGGGGGUUCGAAUCCCCUUUUUUCCG